rnacentral:tRNA from 1 species
UUAAAAAUAAGCUAAAUAAGCUAAUGAACUCAUACUUCAUCUAUAAAGACAUUCUCUUUUUUUUAA